UCUUCUUUGCCUCUGUCAGUCGGUCUCCCCGCUCACAAUGAAAAACAGUAAACCAGGUGCACUGUCUCCCCAGCAAAAGCCCAGAAGGUAUGCUUGGGGCAGGUGAAGAUUAUGGAUGGGGAAACUGAGGCCUGGAGUUGUUCCUGUCACCGGACUGCACAAGGAGCCCGGUGCCCCUUGCCGCCUCUGCCAGCCGCACCGACGGCGACUCGACAGCCCUACCUGGCACAGCUCUUCGUUGACUUUCCAUCAUUCUCAGGAUAAAAACCAAACUCUUUAAGGGGCCCAAGGAUUCUGCUUCACCCAACUCUGCAGGACCAGCCACUCUCCUCUUGGAUUGACUACACUCUGGCCAUGCUUGCCUCCUUCUUCCUUUGGAAUGCAUCAGAAGUCCUGUCUCCUCAGAUGGUGAGCUCCGAGAUGGGAGGGCCCUGUCUGAGUCAUCACUAGGUCGUGGAGACCAGCACAGAGUGUCCGAAGGGAUAUGCAGAAGAAGAUUGAGGGGUGAUUGAGAUUCUGGAAGCUGUCUUCAUCCUUCACUUCCUGUGCUU